GAGGAACUUCCGUGGUCAUCCCAGUCAUGUGAUGUAAGGGCAAUGACAGCAAUGGUAUAAGGAAGAGUCCGGAAGCCACCAUGCCCAGAACCAUCAGCCUCAAGCAAAUCAUCUUCCCUUGUCCUCUUGCUCUCAUCUUACCCUUCAGACAAAAUCCAUGAAUUAUUGAUCAAAUUUGGAUCUCUGUGUGCUGUCCUCCAAUUUAAUACCUUCUCUGUUGCUGUUUUGUUUUUUUUCUUCUGGAACGUAGCAGAGUGCUUCAAGCGAUGAGACUUCCUCUUUGAAGAUCACAGGUGAGAAGAUUAGAUGCUUUCUCGGAAGCCCAGCAACCUGAUGGGAUUGUGGAGUGAGCCAGACCCAAGUCAGAACUUCAUCCCUGCAUGGUUUAUUUUGCUUGUUUGGCAAACUUGCCCCACAGAGUGCUUUUGGAGUGGAACACAUCCUGAGUGUGCCCUUUCAGUUCAGUCUGUUACUGAUGCUCUCCUAAUGGCAUUCACACAUGCAUACAGCUCGCCUCCUUUGAAGCAGCCUGCUUUAAGAUUGAAAAUAUGAUUGAGAGUGGCCAAAAUACAACUCUCUGUGAGUGGUCCAAUUAUGUCCUAAUUAACUUUCAAUGUGUCAAGUUCAACUGAUAGAAAAUAGUCAAGAAAUUAAGGAGGUAAGCUGAGAUUUUACACUUCUCUCAAUUUUAAACUUGUUAUUAAGUGGAAAACAAAGAUUACAUGCUUUUAUUGCUUUAAAAAAGAUCAAAAAUGACAUUUAAUGACAUUCUUGAAGAAGAUGAACAUUUGCAAUUGCAAAUGGAACUUCUUGGAAAAUAAGUUUUCAGUGCCUUUGUUGUGCAGAUCUUUCUUUUCCAGUUCAAUAUGAAUCUCAAACUUUUAAAAUCCAGAUGGGCAGCACAUGACAAAUAUGGGUAAACUCAGCCAAUGAAACAAAAGUAUUUGUUUCCACCCUAUUUAAUGUGUUACUUCCUCCAAGUAACAAUAGAAAACCAAAACUUCUUGAAAAUAAAUAAA
rnacentral:lncRNA from 1 species